rnacentral:lncRNA from 10 species
AUGGGGCGUCCUUACUCCCAGUCUUUCCAGAUGUUCUUCCCACUCCUCAACUGCUCCUGGCUCAGAAACCCUGCACACCUGGAAGAAAGUGAGAACCAGUUUUUCAACAAACACAUUGCACAGACUUAUUGUGAACCCCGGGUGGAAUCAAGCAUCGGAGGAAGAGAACGUGGGUCUUGCUGUGUCCCUAGGCUGGAGUGCAGUGGUGCAGUCUCAAUUAUGCCAGAUGGCUCUGAGGUCCAAGUAAAAGAUAAUAUUUGCAACCAACUCACUGGAGUUGACCAUCAAAACUCUUUUCCAGGCACACUCAGGCAUCGCAGAAAAUAAUAUGUAUUGUGGAAUCCCUCACUUGAUGAAUAAUCUAGAUGAUCAGAAAUGUGGCACUAUUUUGGCUUUCAGGUGGAAAAGCACCCUGAAUCCAGCUUCCUGCUAUGAAUGAAUACUGAGCUUGGGUUGGUGGAAAUUGAUUUUCGAGAUAAAGAAUCCAGCCAGGACUGUGAAGCCCCAGGGAAUGGCUGCACUUCAAGUCAGAAGGAGCCUGGGUCCCUGAAUCAUCAUGUGGAAGGCUCUCCACCCAGUUCAAUGGUGCAAUGGACCACAAGCAGGAACUUAAUUUAGAAUGUGCUUAUUUUGUUAGAUUUUGUAAUUAAAAAAUGGAUCCCACUCUGACUGAA